rnacentral:rRNA from 1 species
GACGAACGCUGGCGGCGUGCUUAACACAUGCAAGUCGAACGGAAAGGCCCUGCUUUUGUGGGGUGCUCGAGUGGCGAACGGGUGAGUAACACGUGAGUAACCUGCCCUUGACUUUGGGAUAACUUCAGGAAACUGGGGCUAAUACCGGAUAGGAGCUCCUGCUGCAUGGUGUGGGUUGGAAAGUUUCGGCGGUUGGGGAUGGACUCGCGGCUUAUCAGCUUGUUGGUGGGGUAGUGGCUUACCAAGGCUUUGACGGAUAGCCGGCCUGAGAGGGUGACCGGCCACAUUGGGACUGAGAGACGGACCAGACUCCUACGGGAGGCAGCAGUGGGGAAUAUUGCACAAUGGGCGGAAGCCAGAGGCAGCAACGCCGCGUGCGGGAUGACGGCCUUCGGGUUGUAAACCGCUUUCGCCUGUGACGAAGCGUGAGUGACGGUAAUGGGUAAAGAAGCACCGGCUAACUACGUG